rnacentral:misc_RNA from 1 species
UCAUCCCACCGAUACUCCUCAUCCCCUUCAGAGCUGCUUGACAGCUUCCUCUGUUUACGUCUCUUCAAGUAUUCCUCAUCAUAUACGGCUUCUCCAACUAUGUCAUCAUCACUGUCAAAGUCUGCAUCAUUAUCUGAGACUGCUUCAACAAACUCUUUUGCUGAAUACCGUUGAGGCCUCUGCCUUCGCCUAUUGCUUCGGUCCAAUAAUUCAGGUUUAUCCCCUUCAUCAAUGUCAUCAUAACCGGGUGAAUUGGGGGUUGUCAAACAGAAACUGCCUUGUUCAGAGGAAUGUGAAGGACCAGUCCAUUUACCAUUUGUUGAAGCUUCAGGUUUGAUAAUAACUUCUCUUCUGUAAAUAGGCUCUGGGGAUGGUGGUUUCCGCUUGGUUAUUUUAAUAGCCUCACUGAUUGACCGGUCAUAAUCAUCAAAAGUGUAAGUAACAGGUUUUCUGUCACGAAGCGAGCGUCCUGGUGAGAGUCCAUCCACACUCAAAAAGUUAUCAAGAAGUAGAGCCUGUCUAUGUUGCUUUUUCAGCAACCUUUCUUUCCUCUUAUGAACCUUCUCAAUCUCAGGAAGCAUGUCGUUCUUUAGCUUCUUCCCUAAUGAGGCCUCUGUUCUAUUUUUACUUGCAAAAAGCUUCUCAGAGACAUCUUGAAAUUCAUCAAAAUUAGUUGCA